rnacentral:lncRNA from 1 species
UAAAUUGAUCCUUGAUCACAUCCAGAAAAGGUUCUUCCUUUGAUCCAGAAUUGUAGUCCCAAAGAGAGAUAAUCAUUGACAAGGUAUAUCAGUAAUAUUAGAUGUAAAUUAUUAAAUUGGAUUGAAGUAAACUAAUAAGUUGAUGGCUCACGAUUUAUGACCCAUACCUAAAAAAAUUAAAAAAAAAUCUGACAGUGAUUAUAAGAACAAAAAAAGGGACAGGGAAAUACACAAAAAACAAAGUUGAAACAUGAUA